rnacentral:tRNA from 1 species
CAGGCUUUACUUGUAGUUAAGGGUUUCAUUUACAUUGAAUUGUUUUGCCGUGCGAUUCGGCGUUGUCUGA